UACGUAGGGGGCUAGCGUUGUCCGGAAUCACUGGGCGUAAAGCGCGUGUAGGCGGCCCGGUAAGUCCGCUGUGAAAGUCGGGGGCUCAACCCUCGAAAGCCGGUGGAUACUGUCGGGCUCGAGUGCGGUAGAGGCGAGUGGAAUUCCUGGUGUAGCGGUGAAAUGCGCAGAUAUCAGGAGGAACACCGAUUGCGAAGGCAGCUCGCUGGGACGUUACUGACGCUGAGACGCGAAAGCGUGGGGAGCAAACAGG
rnacentral:rRNA from 1 species